rnacentral:lncRNA from 1 species
AGUAUUUUCAUGGCACCGGAUCCAAUCCUUCCUCUUCAGUCAAAAGCGCUUUUAUCGUAGUUGUCACUAGCAACAGAAACCAUGGUCUUUAAUCAAUCCUUCCAACACUGCUGUGUGGGAAGGGAUGUUGCGUCAGGGAAGCCUGUUGAUUGCUUACUCCUUAUGGACAUAUGUGAUGCUGUUAAAUGGACAUGCUGGAAUCAGGUGCCCUGCCUCUCAGAAGAUAGCUUCAUAAUCCGAAUGUGGAUUUUUAAUGCUCAGUUUCUGCCCUACUACUCAAAUAAGGUAAUGUGUGCCUGCUCUCAGAGACAUAACCACUUGCUAUUUGCCUGAUAUGCAAAGAUAGACUGUAUGUGCAGGGUAUCUCCACUUUAUGUUCAGCAUCUGCGUCAGCAGUGAUAAAUAUUUCUGUCUUUGCCUAGGAAGUUCAGUGAACCCAAAUUCAGAGGCUGUGAUCCCUGGCUGAGCACAAGUGAAAGUUAAUGUGCUGGUUUCUUU